rnacentral:snRNA from 2 species
AUACCUUUCUCGGCCUUUUGGCUAAGAUCAAGUGUAGUAUCUGUUCUUAUCAGUUUAAUAUCUGAUACGUGGGCCAUCGGCCCACAUGAUAUUAAAUUUAUUUUUCUGAGGGGGAGGGCCCAUAAAAUAGCUUGCUAUUGGGCCUCUCGAGCGUCGCCCUAGUAUGGCACUAUAGCUUGGGCCUGGCGCACCCUUA